rnacentral:rRNA from 1 species
UACGGGGGGAGCAAGCGUUGUUCGGAUUUACUGGGCGUAAAGGGCGCGUAGGCGGCCACCGCAAGUCGACUGUGAAAUCUCCGGGCUUAACCCGGAAAGGUCAGCCGAUACUGCGGGGCUAGAGUGCGGAAGGGGCAACUGGAAUUCUUGGUGUAGCGGUGAAAUGCGUAGAUAUCAAGAGGAACACCUGCGGCGAAGGCGGGUUGCUGGGCCGACACUGACGCUGAUGCGCGAAAGCUAGGGGAGCGAACGGG